GCCGUGGACUGAGCAGCCUCAGCCUGUCUCUUGUUCAGUUGUUCUCUGUGUGACUGGGUGCAGGGGAGCUGCGGGCCAUGGAGUUAGCCGGGGCCACAUAGCAGCUGCAUCCCCUGCACCUGUGGUACUUACGCCACUGCCAACCGCUGGGAAUAAUAUCCGAGGGUCCCGAUGGUCAGGAUCCCGCCACUCGAAAUGCAGACGCCAGAAUACCGACACUGCCCGGAAUGCUGGCACUGGCAUCCUUACUAGGAUCACAAUCCUGGCGCCAUAAUCCCGACCAACACGAUCCCAACUGUUUGCCAGGCCGCCGGAGAGGUCAUCUCCUUUUCUUCAGUAAAUAAUAAUAGGGCUGAGUCGUGCACUGCUGCGACCAUGUUAGCAGCUUUUCCUCUUCCUCUGGUGUAUAGUCGUGCAUCUGAAUGCGAAAAUGCACAGACACCCACUUUCAGUGGCUUCAGUCACAACCAUCGGAAGCACCAUCAGGACUUGAACCACCCCCUUGCUAUGAGCAGAACUCUGUCCAAGUUUGGUCUUCAUGUAUGUGGUUACAUGAUCUGGGGGCCUAAUUCAGAUCUGAUCGCAACAGCAAAUUUGUUAGCUAAUGGGCAAAACCAUGGGCCUAAUUCUGAGUUGAUCGCAGCAGCAAAUUUGUUAGCAGUUGGGCAAAACCAUAUGCACUGCAGGGGGGACAGAUGUAACAUGUGCAGAGAGAGUUAGAUUUGGGUGGGUUGUGUUCAAGCUGAAAUCUAAAUUGCAGUGUAAAAAUAAAGCAGACAGUAUUUACCCUGCACAUAAACAAUAUUAAGGGGGGUACUCACGGAGCGAUAUUCUAAGCAAUCUGACUAGAUUGCUUAGAAUAUCAGCAUGAUCGCUCCGUGU